rnacentral:rRNA from 1 species
CAAGGCUUGACAUCCCUCUGACCGAUUUAGAGAUAGAUCUUUCCCUUCGGGGACAGAGGUGACAGGUGGUGCAUGGUUGUCGUCAGCUCGUGUCGUGAGAUGUUGGGUUAAGUCCCGCAACGAGCGCAACCCUUAUCUUUAGUUGCCAGCAUUCAGUUGGGCACUCUAGAGAGACUGCCGGUGACAAACCGGAGGAAGGUGGGGAUGACGUCAAAUCAUCAUGCCCCUUAUGUCUUGGGCUACACACGUGCUACAAUGGUUGGUACAAAGGGCUGCAAGCCAGCGAUGGUUAGCCAAUCCCAUAAAGCCAAUCUCAGUUCGGAUUGUAGGCUGCAACUCGCCUACAUGAAGUCGGAAUCGCUAGUAAUCGCAGAUCAGCAUGCUGCGGUGAAUACGUUCCC